CGCUUGCGUUUGGACUGAGUUACUUUAGCGUUAACCAGAAUCCUUUUCUAGUCCCGUAGUCUAAGCCAAUGGCUGAGUGGCGGGGGAGGGUGUAAGGUGACUGACCUCACCCUAGGCAAAUGACAAUGAAGGAAAUGGAGGUGCCCCGUUUUGGUGGGAGCUAGUGGAAGCGCCGCUGCAUUGGGGCGGAGCCAGCCACCAGAAGCCGGGAGGGGAUUAGCCGGAACCGGAUUGAAUGGCAGCCGACGUGGGCAUUGGCCACCGGCUGCAGGAAUUCAAGCCUGACGUCUGGGUUAGAGUCCCCGGAGGCCGGCCGGGGAUCUAGAGUCCUUACUUCUCUUCCAGAAAUGGAACCAGCUCUCCUACCAACUCAAGGGUCUAGAUUUCCUCCCAGGACCGAGGGAUCCUAGACUCUUAAUUCGGCACCCUACACCAGCUUCACAUAAGGUCCCUGGAUCCGAGCUCCAAGCUCUGAUCUAGGCCCUCAGUUUAUCUUCUGGACCCAGGCAUCUUCCAGGCUUCCAAUUCCUGUUCAAGACUAAGGCCCAAGGAAAACUCGCAGCAAACCAAACUGGAGUCCAGACUCCACUGGGGAGGAGGCACCAGGAAUCUUCUGACCCAGGCAACCAGUCUGCUUCUCUUGAUAAGUCUGCCCUUGGUCCCGAGCCUGGAAGGCCCUUUGGGGCCAGGAGACACUGGAUCUUCCCCUCCAUUUCUGCCCAGGGUGGUGGACAGUGUCACAGACGACAGACUGACCAAGCCACUAGGGUCCUUCAUGUCCCUGCCUGAUUUCAGCCAGAGAUACUUGAGCAUCUAGGAGAGAAGAAGGCCAGGAGGAAGCUCUCUAUGGGCCUGGGUCCACACAGCCCCUGCCAAUCCCUCUGUGGGACCCACACCUCAUAGACGGCCAGGUCGGUGCAGGCAUACGGGAUGAUGCCAAGCAUGUUGGGGAGGUACCCACGGUAAAGGGCGCGGGUGCCCUCCUGCUCCAGGAUCUGCCUGGCGCAGUCCAGCAGUCCCUUGUACUGGCCGGUCUGCCGCAGGGUCAGCCGCGUCUUCAGCACCUGGGGAGGAUGAGGAGUAAGGCAGCUUAUUUAAGCUAAUCGCCUCAAUGACUCUCCAGCACAGGAGGCAACUGCUCAAGAAUGCACAUAGCUGGGUUUCAAACCCAGCUGCCUUGACCUGAGACAUAAGAGAUGCAGGUUCAAUCCCUGGGUCAGGAAGAUCUCCUGGAGAAGGAAAU